rnacentral:other from 1 species
AAAAUCCUGGAAUGUUCGAUAAGCCUUUUAUUUUGAACCUACACUACGAAUACGGGAGUCCGGAGUUCGGAAAAUGAUGUCAGGCCCUAAGCUAAUUCCCAUUAUGGGCAAGGGAAAACAGAUUUUUUUGACAGGACACCCACCUAGCGAAGGCUAGGUGUCAAAAUAAAGGUAACGGCAUUUUGGGAGUCAU